GCGCCGGUAGCUCAAUUGGCAGAGCAGUGGGACGGUACCCGAUCCCACGGUCCCGGGUCAAGCCCCAGCCGACGUU